rnacentral:rRNA from 1 species
GAAUAUUGGACAAUGGGCGAAAGCCUGAUCCAGCCAUGCCGCGUGCAGGAUGACGGCCCUACGGGUUGUAAACUGCUUUUAUACGGGAAUAAACCCCUCUACGUGUAGAGGGCUGAAGGUACCGUAAGAAUAAGGAUCGGCUACCUCCGUGCCAGCCGCCGCGGUAAUACGGAGGAUCCAAGCGUUAUCCGGAUUCAUUGGGUUUAAAGGGUCCGCAGGCGGGAUAUUAAGUCAGUGGUGAAAGGCUGUCGCUUAACGAUAGCAUUGCCAUUGAUACUGGUAUUCUUGAGUAUAGUUGAGGUGGGCGGAAUAAGUCAUGUAGCGGUGAAAUGCAUAGAUAUGACUUAGAACACCGAUUGCGAAGGCAGCUCACUAAACUAUUACUGACGCUCAGGGACGAAAGCGUGGGGAGCGAACAGG